GACGGAAGGUGCAAGCGUUGCUCGGAAUCACUGGGCGUAAAGGGUGCGUAGGCGGCCGUGCAAGUCUGGCGUGAAAGCCCCGGGCUCAGCCCGGGAAGUGCGCUCGAAACUGCGCGGCUCGAGUGCCGGAGGGGAGAGUGGAAUUCCUGGUGUAGCGGUGAAAUGCGUAGAUAUCAGGAGGAAUACCGGUGGCGAAGGCGGCAUCCUGGACCAAUUCUGACACUGAGGAGCGAAAGCCAGGGGAGCAAACGGG
rnacentral:rRNA from 1 species